rnacentral:rRNA from 1 species
AUACGGAGGGUGCAAGCGUUAAUCGGAAUUACUGGGCGUAAAGCGUACGUAGGCGGUUAUUUAAGUCAGAUGUGAAAGCCCCGGGCUUAACUUGGGAACUGCAUUUGAAACUGGGUAACUAGAGUUUAGUAGAGGGGAGUGGAAUUUCAGGUGUAGCGGUGAAAUGCGUAGAGAUCUGAAGGAACACCAGUGGCGAAGGCGACUCCCUGGACUAAAACUGACGCUGAGGUACGAAAGCGUGAGUAGCAAACAGGAUUAGAAACCCCAGUAGUCC